rnacentral:sRNA from 1 species
AGGAGGAUCUUUGACACCAGGGGCCAUGCAGUGCGGGUUGCCACCACCUGUCACUCUUGGCCCCCGUUCAGAGGACACGGCAUUCUUCCCACGGCCUGACAUGGGGUAGAAUGGCGUUGGAACCAUUAGGAAGAAAAAGGGAGGGGGCAUCUGGGCCCUGGGAGCAGGCUAUGGCCAUGAUACGGGAAGGGGCUUCAAGAAGAGGGGCCUUUGGGCAGGCUGAAGGGCAAGACUAUGCCCAGGCCCAGGAAUGGCUCUGCCCACCUCUAUGCCAUACCUCUCUGGGUUUCUAGGAGCUUGGGGAGAACCGCCGUGAUCCCAGUGCCCAGCCCUGUGCCCCAGGUAUCCGGAUCUACUCAGACCAUCUCUGGGGUUCAGCAGGCAACAUUCCUCUUCCAGGAAGCAAAAUUAAGCAAUGUCUGUGGAGCCCUUACCCAUGAGGGGCUGGUCUGGGUGUGAACCUAACCUCACCUAAGAAAAACGUCCAAGUUACCUGUGUGGGAAACCGAAACUCUCAAGGACACAGACUGAAGGAAUAAGGAAACAAGAUGGCCAUGGCCUCUCCACCUUCCUUAACCCCCCCCCCGGGGGGAAGG